GCGCAAGCGCAGGGCUCUCAGGCGCGGUCCCACCUGUGAGGCCCUGAGGCGGGCGCCUCCCUGAGUGUGGGUCGCGCAGGCAUCGGCCCUGCGUGGCUGAGCUGAGAGAUGUUUGUGUGGCGUGCUGCGGAUAUUGGACCUAGAGUCCCUUGAGGGAUGGUUGCCUGUGUUGAUGGCUGUUCUGCAUGUACCAAGCACUGUGUUGAUGGCUUUACAUUGCUGUUAUCACAAAUACUUCCUCACUGCCUACCUUGCACCGGGCAAGGUUUAUUACCGAGGACACAGCUGUGAACAAGGCAGAUUUCCUUAGCCAACUUCAAGCUGGACACUGCACAGCUGAAUCCCCCUGGAGCACUGGAGCUGGACGCUAAUGAAGUCGCCACUGAAAUCUUGGGAAUCUUCGAAGAAGACAGAGAAGCCGAGAGGCAGCAUCUGAGGUCACCAACCAGGGCCAUCAGCCCACAGGUCACAGCCUCCAGCAAGCAAGGGACUUGUGUGGCUUGUGACUCAGUGUUGGAGAUAAUUGCACAGAGACCUGUUUCCCUUUUCUUCUUAUCCAUUUAUCUGCAACACUGAAACUCCCACCCUCUUUUGCAUAAUACAUGCAACGAGGGAAGCUGUCCCUAUCAUCACAUGCUUGUGAACUGCCGUAUGGGUCAGCUUCUCACUGUGUCCGGCUGUCUGGCUGCCGUUCCCAGGGGUACAGCAUCCCCACUGUGACCCUGCUGAGAUUCCAUCUUGGGGUUAUGGGUUCUUAUGUGCUGGUCACAGAUGAACGACUUCACAUACUAGGCUGUGCUGAUCUUUUUACCACUCACCCAAAAAUAGGCAAAAGACACAUCCAAGAGGCCCCUUGCUGAGUCAGCUAAGCUGCUGGUGAGGGGGAUGUGGGGAGUCCCUGCAGGGUCCUGGCCUUGGUCCUCACGUUGAGCCCUAGGCUCCAACAGCUGGGGCGAGUAGAUGUGGUAUAAGCACUCCAACCCCCAGUGCAACCUCAUCAGCCAUCUCUUUCGGUUGCCAUUUCAAAACCCUAGUAUAAUUUUCACUGCUGUGUGGUGGUAUUUAAUUUUACCAAAGUAUGACAAACUCGCAAAUACAUUCCCUUUGGGGCUUUUCUCACUCCUCCUCCCACUUUAAAACAUAACACAUUUCAAACAAACCGUAAAUUCUUCCCCUUUCAACUCCUGUCCAUGUCUUUCCCUUUGGGCUGCUUUAUGUUUCUUCCUAUCACCUUCUGACAUGAUGUGAUGAUGUCUGAUGUUACAUCUGACUCUCCGGGUGCUGCCGGCAGUGGCAGCUUCAGGGGGACAGAGGCUUUGCAAGUCUUUUGCUGCUUCCUUCCCUGUGUCUAGAAUAGUGAGUUGUCUGGUGCCUUGUAGGAACUCAAUCAAGAUUUGGUGAAUAGUGGCACUAAGCCAUUCACUAAAUAU
rnacentral:lncRNA from 10 species